UACGAAGGGGGCUAGCGUUGCUCGGAAUGACUGGGCGUAAAGGGCGCGUAGGCGGAUGGCACAGUCAGAUGUGAAAUUCCCGGGCUUAACCUGGGGGCUGCAUUUGAUACGUGUUGUCUAGAGUGAGGAAGAGGGUUGUGGAAUUCCCAGUGUAGAGGUGAAAUUCGUAGAUAUUGGGAAGAACACCGGUGGCGAAGGCGGCUUUCUGGACACUUACUGACGCUGAGACGCGAAAGCGUGGGGAGCAAACAGG
rnacentral:rRNA from 1 species